GACUCGCUGUUCUCUUUGGCAAACCCUGGACAUUUCUUUUAGCGAUGAGCAGGAGAAUUUCAAGGGAUGUCUAGGGAUUUGACUAAAAUGCAUCAUCUCACUCCCCCGCCUAUGGCAUCCCAGGAGACAGAGCUGCUAGCCAGAACUGCCAAGUUCGGAAUCUAGAACUUCACACCUGCUCGGGCCUGGAAACCCCACAGACCGAACCAGGAGAGGGUGCUUGAGCGAUCCAGGGAAGAUGUCUUUGAGAAGGGAGAGGAGAUGAGAACUCUGACUCCUCCCUGCCUGGAAUCCUGUACGUCUGAGGCCGUCCAGCACAAGGCUCUAACCUGGGACAAGGCCUCAGAGAUUUGGAAUAGCCGCCCGAUACCGACUUCUUUGUCUGCAAAGAUAGCUGGCUGUGCUCACUGAGGCUGUUAGAGGAUUUCAACAGCAGCACAGACCAGUGCCCACCAGACCAGUGCUCGUUUUCUGAAGCUGUAGGUUGUGACGUCACAUGGGGUUGUAUAGCUGGAUGUGUGAGCUGUGAAGACUCUGGCAACAGUAAAAGACUUCUGAAUGAACAAUGAUCAAAGUUAAUUCAAAAUAGCACUCUACCAGAAGAGGUGUUUCGAGCAGUGCUUGCCCGUGUUGUAGCUUGCAACAUCACUGCCGGCUUGGUUCUGAAUACACACCAUGAACACUUUGCUCUGUGCAGACCGCCAUGACACCCAACAGGAACAAAAGCCCCGAGAAAUGCCUUGGUUCACACUGAGGACUGUUUUAUGUCGUGAAUGGCAGGGGGUUUACUGUCCAUACAAAGUUUCCUGCUCUCAUAGAAACAUAAUAUUUUAAUCAGGGAGACAAUGACAAUAUCUUUCUAUAGUCAUUUACAUCCUAUACAGUGUAUACAUAUCAAAUUAGUAUAUCUUUGAAUUGUAUUGAAUUAGGCUGUUUGACUUCCACAAUUGCUGUGUAAAUUCUUAACUUGAAUGGUAUUUUUAAAAUGAUAAGGAGGUACUUCCUCUUCCUGUAAGCAGCCAGAGGUGGCCUGUGAAGAUGGCUUGCUACUCUCUUGACCCAGAACCCCCCCCCCAAAUCAUGCAAAUCAAGAGGUUCAAACCUUCCUGUUCACUUCAAGAAGACCCGGAAAACUGCCCAGGCCAUCAAGGGUAUGCAUAUCCGCAAAGCCGCCAAGUAUCUGAAGGAUGUCACUUUAAAGAAGCAAUGUGUGCCAUUCUGGCGGUAUAAUGCACCCAGGCCAAAACAGUGGGGCUGGACACAGGGAUGGUGGCCAAGAAAGAAUGCUGAAUCUUUGCUGUACAUGCUUAAAAAUGCAGAGAGGAAUGCUGAACUUAGGGGUUUAGAUGUGGAUUCUCUAGUCAUUGGACACAUCCAGGUGAACGAGGCACUUAAGCUGCGCCGACGAACCUACAGAGCUCAUGGCCGGAUUAACCCAUACGUGAGCUCCCCCUGCCACAUUGAGAUGAUCCUCACUGAGAAGGAACAGACCUUUCCAAAGCCAGAAGAGAAGGCUGCACCGAAGAAAAACAUAUCCCAGAAGAAACUGAGGAAAUGGGCUGGAGAGAUGGCUCUGUGGGUAAGGGCACUGACUGCUCUUCCAAAGGUCCUGAGUUCAAAUCCCAGCAACCACAUGGUGGCUCACAACCAUCCAAAUAAUGAGAUCUGAUGCCCUCUUCUGGUGUGCCUGAAGUCAGCUACAGUGAACUUAUGCAUAAUAAUAAAUCUUUACAAAAAAGAAAAAGAAACUGAGGAAACAAAAACUCAUGGCCUGGGAAUAAAUUCAGCAUAAAAUAAAUGCAGAUAAAG